rnacentral:rRNA from 1 species
UACGUAGGGGGCAAGCGUUGUCCGGAUUUAUUGGGCGUAAAGAGCGUGUAGGCGGUUUUACAGGUCCGUUGUGAAAACUCGAGGCUCAACCUCGAGACGCCGGUGGAAACCGUAAAGCUAGAGUCCGGAAGAGGAGAGUGGAAUUCCUGGUGUAGCGGUGAAAUGCGCAGAUAUCAGGAAGAACACCAGUGGCGAAGGCGGCUCGCUGGGACGGUACUGACGCUGAGACGCGAAAGCGUGGGGAGCGAACAGG